rnacentral:rRNA from 1 species
UGCGGCAGCUAGCUCUAUGCAACUCUAACAUGAUUGCCCACUGAAGCUAAGCAGGGCUGCACCCGGUCAGUAUCUGAAUGGGAGACUACAUGGGAAAGCUAGGUUGCUGCCAGAU